GAGUUUGAUCGUGGCUCAGAUUGAACGCUGGCGGCAUGCCUUACACAUGCAAGUCGAACGGCAGCACGGGAGCUUGCUCCUGGUGGCGAGUGGCGAACGGGUGAGUAAUGCGAUCGGAACGUAUCCUGGAGUGGGGGAUAACGUAGCGAAAGUUACGCUAAUACCGCAUAUUCUGUGAGCAGGAAAGCGGGGGACCUUCGGGCCUCGCGCUCUUGGAGCGGCCGAUGUCGGAUUAGCUAGUUGGUGAGGUAAAGGGCUCACCAAGGCGACGAUCCGUAGCAGGUCUGAGAGGAUGAUCCUGCCACACUGGAACUGAGACACGGGUCCAGACUCCUACGGGAGGCAGCAGUGGGGAAUUUUGGACAAUGGGGGCAACCCUGAUCCAGCCAUGCCGCGUGAGUGAAGAAGGGCCCUGGUUCGUAAGUACGUACGUUCGUCGUA
rnacentral:rRNA from 1 species